rnacentral:rRNA from 1 species
UACGAAGGGUGCAAGCGUUACUCGGAAUUACUGGGCGUAAAGCGUGCGUAGGUGGUUCGUUAAGUCUGAUGUGAAAGCCCUGGGCUCAACCUGGGAAUGGCAUUGGAUACUGGCGAUCUAGAGUGCGGUAGAGGGCAGUGGAAUUCCCGGUGUAGCAGUGAAAUGCGUAGAGAUCGGGAGGAACAUCUGUGGCGAAGGCGACUGCCUGGACUGGUCCUGACACUCAUGAGCGAAAGCGUGGGGAGCGAUCCGG